rnacentral:rRNA from 1 species
CGUUCCUGGGUCUUGUACUCACCGCCCGUCAACUCAUGGAAGGCAGGGGCGCCUGAAGCACCUUUACCCGCAAGGGGGGGUACCACGGCGAAACUGCUGACUGGGAGU